UUAGAGUUUGAUCCUGGCUCAGGAUGCAUUCUGGCGGCGUGCUUAACACAUGCAAGUCGAACGAAGCGAUCAGGAGGAAGUUUUCGGAUGGAAUCCGGAUUGACUGAGUGGCGGACGGGUGAGUAACGCGUGGGUAACCUGCCUCAUACAGGGGGAUAACAGUUAGAAAUGACUGCUAAUACCGCAUAAGCGCACAGGGACACAUGUUCCGGUGUGAAAAACUCCGGUGGUAUGAGAUGGACCCGCGUCUGAUUAGCUGGUUGGCGGGGCAACGGCCCACCAAGGCGACGAUCAGUAGCCGGACUGAGAGGUUGGCCGGCCACAUUGGGACUGAGACACGGCCCAGACUCCUACGGGAGGCAGCAGUGGGGAAUAUUGGGCAAUGGGCGCAAGCCUGACCCAGCAACGCCGCGUGAAGGAAGAAAGCUUUCGGGUUGUAAACUUCUUUUCUCAGGGACGAAGCAAGUGACGGUACCUGAGGAAUAAGCCACGGCUAACUACGUGCCAGCAGCCGCGGUAAUACGUAGGUGGCAAGCGUUAUCCGGAUUUACUGGGUGUAAAGGGCGUGUAGGCGGGACUGCAAGUCAGAUGUGAAAACCACGGGCUCAACCUGUGGCCUGCAUUUGAAACUGUAGUUCUUGAGUACUGGAGAGGCAGACGGAAUUCCUAGUGUAGCGGUGAAAUGCGUAGAUAUUAGGAGGAACACCAGUGGCGAAGGCGGUCUGCUGGACAGCAACUGACGCUGAGGCGCGAAAGCGUGGGGAGCAAACAGGAUUAGAUACCCUGGUAGUCCACGCUGUAAACGAUGGAUACUAGGUGUGGGGGGACUGACCCCCUCCGUGCCGCAGUUAACACAAUAAGUAUCCCACCUGGGGAGUACGAUCGCAAGGUUGAAACUCAAAGGAAUUGACGGGGGCCCGCACAAGCGGUGGAGUAUGUGGUUUAAUUCGAAGCAACGCGAAGAACCUUACCAGGGCUUGACAUCCCGAGGACCGGACUAGAGAUAGUCUUUUCUCUUCGGAGACCUCGGAGACAGGUGGUGCAUGGUUGUCGUCAGCUCGUGUCGUGAGAUGUUGGGUUAAGUCCCGCAACGAGCGCAACCCUUAUUGUUAGUUGCUACGCAAGAGCACUCUAGCGAGACUGCCGUUGACAAAACGGAGGAAGGUGGGGAUGACGUCAAAUCAUCAUGCCCCUUAUGAUUUGGGCUACACACGUGCUACAAUGGCGUAAACAGAGGGAAGCGAACCCGCGAGGGGGAGCAAAUCCCAAAAAUAACGUCCCAGUUCGGAUUGUAGCCUGCAACCCGGCUACAUGAAGCUGGAAUCGCUAGUAAUCGCGGAUCAGAAUGCCGCGGUGAAUACGUUCCCGGGUCUUGCACACACCACCCGUCA
rnacentral:rRNA from 1 species